rnacentral:rRNA from 1 species
UACAGAGGGUGCGAGCGUUAAUCGGAAUUACUGGGCGUAAAGCGCACGUAGGUGGCGACGUAAGUCGGGUGUGAAAGCCCCGGGCUCAACCUGGGAAUUGCAUUCGAGACUGCAUUGCUGGAGUACGGAAGAGGAGGGCGGAAUUCCCGGUGUAGCGGUGAAAUGCGUAGAUAUCAGGAGGAACACCGGCGGCGAAGGCGGCCCUCUGGAUCGUUGCUGACGCUGAGACGCGAAAGCGUGGGGAGCAAACAGG